rnacentral:tRNA from 1 species
GCCUCCGUGGUCCAGUGGUUUGAGCGUUGGGCUAACGAUCCGAAGGCCCCGGGUUCAAGUCCCGGUGGGGACA